UCUAUAUUGACCUCUAGGAGUUUGUCUCACAAGUAAAGUUGUCUUAAACAUUGCACUGGUGUUUGUUCUGAAAACCACUCAGACAGCUCACAUUCUACAACAGGUUUUGGUGCCCAGACUUCUUCAGAGCAAGCCAGUAUACAGCCCAGAAUGACCCUGAAGGGCAAAUGACGUUGAAGCAGCCUGGAAAGAGCAGAAGCCAUAAGGAGACCCUCUGAAAGGAAGCCUGCUGAAUGCAGGAUAACCCUGACAAUGAAGAAAAAAUUGAAGUGGAAAGACCUUCAGCAAGUGCAGAAGAUAACUGAAAAGUUUGAACAGAAAGCAAAACUAUAUUGGAAAUAAGAAGGGUGAUAUCAUUUGGGUUUAGAAAUGCAUGCAUAUUAUUUUCAAAUCUUUGCAUGAGGGUUUCCAACUAAUUAGAAUAAACAUGGUUUGACUGUUGUUAUUUUUAAAUCAGCCCCUGAUAAAAGGGUGCGUUAAAUUUUUUCAGAACUGUUAUUUAUUUAUUUAAAUUAUUUGUUCACUGCCCAAACCUUAAGUCUCUUGGUGGUUUACAAUAAAAUAACUUGCUAGAAAAGUAGCAAGGCUGAGUUUGUAUGCAAGUGAGAAUUUGAGGGUACAGGAACCUUUUUGGUCCCAGCAACUGUCUUAGGAACAACUCACAGACUGUCAUCCAGCCUAAUUGACUCAUGAGUAGUCCCAUUGAAAUUUAUGGGACAAGUGAGUCAUCAUUAACAUGUCCCAUUAAUUUCAAAGCAACUACUCAUUAGUAAUUUAGUCUGGAUACCAGCCAGUUUUUGUGUAUAACUUUUGAUCAGUUGGACUGAUAGUUUUAAUUUGAAACGUGUUUUUAAAAAUGUAAUUUUAAAUAUGGUUUUAGCUUGGUCUUUUAACUUGUCUAACUUUAUUAAUCUUUUAUUUUACAUUGUAUCUAUUUUAUUAAUAUUGUGAGCUGCCCCGGGCAGCAGUUUAC